UACGGGGGGGGGCAAGCGUUGUUCGGAAUUACUGGGCGUAAAGGGCUCGUAGGCGGCCAACUAAGUCAUACGUGAAAUCCCUCGGCUUAACCGGGGAACUGCGUCUGAUACUGGAUGGCUUGAGUUCGGGAGAGGGAUGCGGAAUUCCAGGUGUAGCGGUGAAAUGCGUAGAUAUCUGGAGGAACACCGGGUGGCGAAGGCGGCAUCCUGGACCGGUAUUGACGCUGAGGCGCGAAAGCCAGGGGAGCAAAGCGGG
rnacentral:rRNA from 1 species